AAGGAUAUCAAUAUUUCUUGUUCUUGAAAUUCCAGCAGCCGAUCGAGAUGCAAUUCAAUGCUUUUCAACCAGUUAUGGUCUGUAAUUUGCAGUGUUGUUUUUAUAUUCCAAGCUAGCUUUUAGGCCAUUGAUUUUCAUGAAUCCAGCAAUGGUAGUUGCAAGGGCAAAUAGAGACUGGCUCAGUUAGGAGGGUUCAUCAAGAUGCUGCUCAGGGCAAAUUGGCUACAUGUUUUGGAGUGAAUUUCCUUGGAAAGCAGUCAAGGAAAUGGCUAACAUGGUCUUGCUGCCCAGCUGCUAGGUCAUAGUUUUGCGUUAUAGAAGGAAAAUUUUGAAGGGGAAAUGAUGAAGUACUGGAAUCAUUCACUUGUGAUGCAAGUAA